CCUACGGGAGGCUGCAGUGAGGAAUAUUGGUCAAUGGACGAGAGUCUGAACCAGCCAAGUAGCGUGAAGGAUGACUGCCCUAUGGGUUGUAAACUUCUUUUAUAUGGGAAUAAAAUGUUCCACGUGUGGGAUUUUGUAUGUACCAUAUGAAUAAGGAUCGGCUAACUCCGUGCCAGCAGCCGCGGUAAUACGGAGGAUCCGAGCGUUAUCCGGAUUUAUUGGGUUUAAAGUGAGCGUAGGUGGAUUGUUAAGUCAGUUGUGAAAGUUUGCGGCUCAACCGUAAAAUUGCAGUUGAAACUGGCAGUCUUGAGUACAGUAGAGGUGGGCGGAAUUCGUGGUGUAGCGGUGAAAUGCUGAGAUAUCACGAAGAACUCCGAUUGCGAAGGCAGUUCACUGGACUGCAACUGACACUGAGGCUCGAAAGUGUGGGUAUCAAACAGGAUUAGAUACCCUGGUAGUC
rnacentral:rRNA from 1 species